rnacentral:rRNA from 1 species
UUUCUAAGGAAGAUGU